GUGAAAUUUAAAUCUAUUUUAGAUAUACAUGUUAGUUUCUUACCCUUUCUACUUAAAAAAAAGCCAUUUGCCAAUGUAAUAAAAAGAAUAACUAAUCAAAGAAUUCAAAUAGGCUGCGCGCAUUAGCAAAUUCAUGUGUUGUUCGGUCACUCGUUGAAUAUUUUUCUUUUUGGAUUCUUCGAUAAUUUAUUCUAUAAAUCUCAUUUU
rnacentral:lncRNA from 1 species